CUAGGGAGUUCUGGUGGACAAAAAGCCGGACAUGAGCCAGAAGUGCGUGCUUGCAGCCCAGAAGGCCAACAGUGUAUUGGGCUGCAUCAACAGAGGGGUGGCAGCAGGUUGAGGGAGGGGAUUGUCACCCUCUGCUCUAUCCUUGUGAGACUCCAUCUGCAGUACUGCGUCCAGGCCUGGGGCCACCAGCUUAGGAAAGAUGUGGAGAUGUUGGAGCAGAUCCAGAGGAGGGCCAUGAAGAUGCUCAGAGGGCUGGAGCACAUCUCUUACGAAGAAGGGUUGGGAGAGUUGGACUUGUUCAGUCUGGAGAAGAGAAGACCUCAUUGCAAUCUUCCAGUAUUUAAAGGGAUUAUUAACAGGAGAGAAAUCAACUAUUUACAGAGACCAACACAAAUCACAUCGGGGCAUUUGGAGAUCGGUGUUGCUUCCCCAGCUGCCAUGCUGGACAAUGCUGUGCCUCUCUGAUUCUGCUGUUCAGGUAUUGUCCAGUGUGUUGAACAGAACGGAUUGUUGUUAGAAAGAAAGGUAAAGCUUCUCACUGCAGACAUGCCUAUGGUGGGAUGCUGUUCACAGGAGAAUGGUGUUUGAGCCAGACUGGGUACUGUGAGACCUUCCUGACACGCCAAAAGGCUGCGCUGACAUUCAGCAAGACCUGGACAGAAUGGAGAGUUGAGCGGAGAGGAAACUGAUGAGGGUCAGCAAGUGCAAAUGUAGAGUCCUGCACCUGGGGAGGAACAACUGCAUGCAGCAGUUUGGCCAUGAGCCAGCAGUGUGCCCUGGUGGCCAAGAAGGCCAGUGGUAUCCUGGGGUGCAUUACAAAGAGCAUGGCCAGCAGGACGACAGAGGUGAUCCUCCCCCCUCCACUCUGCCCUGGUGAGGCCAUACCUGGAGCACUGUGCCCAGUUCUGGGCUCCCCAGUUCAAAAAAGACAGGGGUCUCCUGGAGAGAGUCCAGCUGGGGGACACAAAGAUGUGAGGGACCUGGAGCAUCUCCUCUGUGAGGACUGGCUGAGAGACCUGGGGUUGCGCAGCCUGGAGAAGAGAAGGCUGAGAGGGGAUCUCAUCAAUGCUUAUAAGCAUUUAAAGUGCAGGUGUCAAGUGGAUGGGGCCAGGCUCUUUUCGGUAGUGUGCAACAACAAGACAAGGGGUAACGGGCACCAACUGGAACACAGGAAGUUCCCUACUAACAUGAGGAAGAACUUUACUGUGAGAGUGCAAGCACUGGAGCACUGGAACAGGCUGCUCAGAGAGGUGAUGGAGUCUCCUUUUCUGGAGAUAUUCAAGACCCACCUGGAUGCUUUCCUGCUGCACCUACUGGAGGAACCUGCUAUAACAGGGGGUUGGACCCCAUGACUUCCAGAGGUUCCCUCCAACUCCUAUGAUUCUAUGGGAGAAAGAGAAUCAUUCAGUCAGUUAAUUCCUCUGUAAAGGAAUAUGUCUAACUGCAGUCCUAUAAACAUAAAUUACUUUAUCAAGAAACAUGUACUCCAGGAAGAAAAAGCCAAUAUUUAUAUUCUAGCUCCCAACUUCCCAUUAAACCUAAGCAGAAGUUGUAAAACUGAAGCUGAACUAGAAAAAAUAUUGUCACUAUAUUUUGGUUUUGGAUCUCCACUUGAAACCCACAUUGGGGAAGGCCUGGGAAGAUUUUAGACAGAAAAAAAAAACCCCACAAAAAAAUUGAUUCUCAUGAGAAGCUGCUUCUGGCUGGCAGACUCCAACCUGCACCAUUCACUGAAGAGCAGACAAUGACAAAGAAGACAACUUUGUCUUCUCUGUUGUGGCUGCUGCCCCAGCAGAUGCCAGUGAGAAGGUAAAUAUGGCCCUUUGCAAGGUUGACUUGGGUGAAAUGAAGUUAUGCAGAAGCUGUAAAAAUAAAACAAAUCACAAGGGAAACCAGAGAAUCCAUCUUAACUUUAUUGUUUGCUACUGCUGGUUAUGGUAUUAAUGCUUUGUAUGGUUAUUCACUUUGGAUGCUAAAUUAGAUUUGGGGAGAGGGGGGGAUUUAAGUUGUGGAAACCAAAACACCAGCUUAGCAGAUCUUGAGGACUUAAGCAUUUAAUGAUAUUAAAAAGGAAGUUUGAUAUGCAUAGCUCAAAAGCUUCCAAAAUAAUUUGCAACAAGUAGCAGCAGCUAUCUCACAUCAAAGAAAGCCUGAAGGCUGAUGUGAAAUUGCAUAAGGCUCCUAUUAAAUAUUGAGAGCGUAAGGAGGAAUGAAUGUUAGAUGUAUGCAUAUACAAUAACAAACAUACACAGAUACCUACAUAUACACCUGUGCAUCACUCCAAAAUAUCUGUAGCUGUAUUUCUCUGUAUAUCUAUGUACGAACCUAAAAGUCACAUCAAUUUGAAAUCCAAUGGUACCCAGCACCCAAUCAGACAUUUUCUCCUGUGCAAUACUGUAAUUAUUAAUGUGAUUCUUUUUCCUAAAAGUAAAGACAGUCAACCACUUCUAUUACUAGCUAAUUCAAAUGUGGUUUGAAGUGCAUCAUUCAUGCUUAUUCCCGUGAGUGCUGAUAGAUAGGUAUUGUACAAUAUGGAUUUUUUUCCAAGCUAUAGGCCAUGAUGUUAAUCAGACACAUAUUAGUGUCAAGUCUGUGAGAUCUGGAUGUCAAUGACAGCACAACUGAGCACCCAGUGACUUAUGACAAGGGUUGAAGUUUUAUCACAGAUUGUGUUUUGGAUGGUUCCUCACAGUGGAAUAGCCACCAGUAAUCAUUACAAAGAGCCAUGUAAAUCAAUGCAGAAUGGGUCUUAAAUGAGGCUUUAUAUGUAAUGGAUAGAAAAGGAAAACUUCCUGAUUUAUUCCAAAUCCUGUUUUAAUUAACACUUACUCCUAGUCUGGCUUUAUGUUUACUUUUCAUCUCCUGCCUGUCAUUUAUUUGAUGUCUCUAGUGCAAUGGGAGUGAUACUUAAAAUGAAAAGGG